AUGUGCGACCACCCAGAGCCUCAGACUGUGACUCCGGGAAACAGGGUCUGUGCAGACAAUGAGUUAAGGCUGGAGACACGCUCCUCCUGGGUCAGGAUGGCCCUCAACCCGAUGACCGGCGUCCUUGUAAGAGGAGGUGCAGACACAGAGGAGGAGCCACAGCAUGGUGGGGGUGGAGGUUUGAGCAAGCCGGCUGCGAGCCUGGAGUCACCGGGGACUUCACAGGGAAGGAGUAGGAUGACUGAUGGAGCCAAUCUAAACAGGCAUCACUUGAUGGCUUGGAAAUUUCUUCUAAGCACGUGUGCACAAGACUCAGGAUGAAAAACAAACAGCAAAAUUAAAUUUGAAGAACAAACACCCUCUCUGAGGAAAACGACAGGCUUCGGAGCCACGUGUCCCUGAGCCGCAGCCGCAUCUGUGCUGUUACCGCCAGUCUCCAGGCGACCGCCCCCUGGUGACCGCCCACUGGAGACCGCCCCCUGGAGACCGUCCCCUGGUGACCGCCCUCUGGUGACCACCCCCUGGAGACCACCCCCUGGAGACCGCCCCCUGGUGACCGCCCUCUGGUGACCACCCCCUGGAGACCACCCCCUGGAGACCGCCCCCUGGUGAUCGCCCUCUGGUGACCGCCCCCUGGUGACCGCCCUCUGGUGACCACCCCCUGGAGACCACCCCCUGGAGACCGCCCCCUAGUGAUCGCCCCCUGGUGACCGCCCCCUGGUGACCGCCCACUGGAGACCGCCCACUGGAGACCGUCCCCUGGUGACCGCCCUCUGGUGACCACCCCCUGGAGACCACCCCCUGGAGACCGCCCCCUGGUGACCGCCCUCUGGUGACCGCCCCCUGGUGAUCGCCCACUGGAGACCGCCCUCUGGUGACCGCCCCCUGGAGACCGCCCCCUGGUGACCGCCCCCUGACGACCAGCUGGCGCCAUGCCCAUGGUCAUGCCCUCUGCUUCCUGAGCACUCAGUGCUCUAGCCACUGCCCCACCCGGAGUUUAAUAUCCAGUAUCCUAUUUCAUCCAAGUUAAAUGCUCCACUCUCUUGAGAAAAGGAAAUAAAAAUUCAUCGUUUUGUCA
rnacentral:lncRNA from 1 species